ensembl:lncRNA
AUUUAUUGUCUUUAGUUUUAUUACACUUGAAUGCACAAUAUAGGCAAACAAACUUGAGCUUACUUCAGUUCAUCUUAGUCACACCAACUUUUUGUUUUGCCACUUUUCAGCUUUUCUUAUUCUUAAUUACAGUAGUUUUUUUAGCAGACAUCUGUACUAAAUUGAACCUAUCAAAUGUAACUGAUUUGUUGUUGUAUAAAGAGACUGUAUUGAAGUUGCAUCGCCACUUGCAUGUCCGUUUCCUGUAGACAUGUGCUUCAUAUUAUGAUUGAUUAAUGCAAGUGUUAAUGCUGAUGUGCUAAAUACAGAUGUUGACUUCAUUUGUCAGGCUAAAACACAAGAAACGGGCGCUGAUACACUGUCAUCAGAGGAGGUACCUCAGAGCCCUUCCCUCUCCCAUAUGCAGAGUUUACAAGAAGCAGGAGUCUUUCAUUCAAUGAAAACUAUAAAAUCAGAACCGCUUGUGAACUACACUGAUUCUGAUGAUGAGAGUCCAUCCAUAAGUCCUGACCAAUUGAAGUCAACAUGCCAGAAAAUGCACACGAGGACAGUGACAAUGAGGCAGCAAGUGAGUCAGAGCCACAAGGUAAGGAUUUUAUUUUAUUUUUUCUUUGUUUCUUUAUCCACCACCACCACAAUGUCUGGUUGGUUUGCCAUUCUCUCUGUCUGUAUCUGGAAGUCCCUCAGGAUCUUGGCUCGCUCGUUCUCUACCACCUGGGAGGUGUUUCCCACUUUGACCUUGGGGUUUCCAGUCCAUACUCUGCACAGAUGUUCCUGUAUACUAUGCCAGCCACUUGGUUGUGGCGUUCCGUGUAUGCUUUCCCUGCCAGCAUCUUACACCCUGCAGUUAUGUGCUGGAUCGUCUCAGGGGCCUCUUUGCACAGUCUACACCUUGGGUCUUGUCUGGUGUGGUAGAUCUGGGCCUCUAUGGCUCUGGUGCUUAGGGCCUGCUCCUGUGCAGCCAGAAUAAAUGCCUCUGUGCUGUCCUUCAGCCCAGCCCUUUCAAGCCGUUGGUAGGAUUUGUUGAGAUCAGCCACUUCAGUUAUGUUCCGGUGGUACAUCCCGUGUAAGGGCUUGUCCUCCCAUAAUGGUCCCUCUUCCAGCAUCUCAUCCUCUGUUCUCCACUGCCUGAGACAUUCACUCAGCACGUCAUCUGUUGGGGCCUUAUCCUUGAUGUACUUAUGGAUCUUGGAUGUUUCAUCCUGGAUAGUGGCUCUCACGCUCACUAGUACUCGACCUCCUUCCUUGCGGCUAGCGUAUAGUCUCAGGGUGCUGGAUUUGGGGUGGAACCCUCCAUGCAUGGUGAGGAGCUUUCGUGUCUUAACAUCUGUGGUCUGUAUCUCUUCCUUUGGCCACCUUACUAUUCCCGCAGGGUAUCUGAUCACUGGCAGGGUGUAGCUGUUUAUUGCCCGCGAUUUGUUCUUGCAAUUGAGCUGGCUUCUUAGGACUUGCCUUACUCUUUGGAGGUAUUUGGUAUUUGGCUGUUGCCGCAUGCCUUGUUGCCUGUUCAAGGUUGCUGUUUGCCUGUUUAUAUUCCAAAGUACUUAAUUGUAAUUGUCCUCAAUGUCUGCUAUUGUUCCUUCUGGGAGUGACCCCUUCUGUGUGGAUUACCUUGCCCCUCUUUGUCACCAUCCUCCCACAUUUCUCGAGUCCGAAUGAUAUCCCAAUAUCCGAGCUGUAGAUUCUGGUGGUGUGGAUCAGCGAAUCAAUGUCUCGCUCACUUUUUGCGUACAGCUUGAUGUCAUCCAUGUAAAGGAGGUGACUUAUGGUGGCUCCGUUCCGAAGUCGGUAUCCGUAGCCAGUCUUGUUUAUUAUUUGGCUGAGGGGGUUCAGACCUAUGCAGAACAGCAGUGGGGACAGUGCAUCUCCUUGGUAUAUGCCACAUUUGAUGGAUACUUGGGCAAGUGGCUUUCCAUUGGCUUCAAGGGUGGUUCUCCACUACCUCAUUGAGUUUGCAAUGAAGGCCCUUAGAGUUCUAUUGUUGUUGUUGUACAGCUUGAAGCAUUCAGUGAUCCAUGUGUGUGGCAUUGAAUCAUAGGCUUUUUUGUAGUCAAUCCAGGCUGUGCACAGGUUGGUGUGUCGCACUCUGCAGUCUUGGGUGACUGUUCUGUCAACCAGGAGGUUGACAACGGGAACUCAUUGGUUCAGUGAUUGUUGUGGUAGGGAUCGCUCCCAAUGCUGCAUUCACAUCUUCUAUGAGACUUUCUGAUGGUACUUCACUUGUCGUUGUAGUUUUCUUCGGGGUUGCCUGCUCAAUCUCGCAUAUGAAUGAAAACUGCCUGAAAACUUUAUCCAAUGCGCUGAGUGACAAGUUGAUUACUGUAGCUCCAUGUUAAAAAGUAGUUAUUCCAGAAUAGCAGUUCAGGGUGCUCAGAAAAGACAAGGACACUGCAAGCUAAAGUAGAGUGGAAGCAGAGGAAAAACGUCUGCACUCCUCAAGAAGCGGAAGGAAAUAAAAUUAUUCAUAUCCCUGGCA